AAGGUUCUGGUAACUCUUGUUUUGGUAGAGACGAGAAACAAAUCGAUCCGGCUUCCGAGCAACACGAUCUAAAACCCUGUAAUUUUUUUAUUUUUUUGAUAUUUAUCUUUUACUUAGGAGCACUAAAGAAGUAACCACAGAAAAUUUGAGCUUAAACAAGUGAAAGACGUGGCCUGUGGAAUUUUCUAAAGAUUGCAAAAAAUUUAAAAAAACUUCACGAGGUGAAAACUAAAAUUUCGGAGGCGAAUUUUAGAUUCUGAAAUUUCCAAACCCCCUAGAGGUAUGGACAGACACAUCUAGAAAUUUUUUCUUAUCGAUUUUGAUAUAUGGAACGUUGAAAUUGGAGUUCGUAUGCCAAAGUUAUGGGUGUUUUACGAACGGACUCCGAAUUAGAGGACAAAACGGUCCGAAAGUGGGAAAAAUUUGCGGCGGUGGCUAGAAAUUGAUAGAAAUGGUGGGGAAAAACACACGAACUGGAGUCUAACAAGACCUAACGAGCAACAAGACCUCGACCAAGACACAAACUCAACACUACGGACUCUGAAACUGAAAUAUGCAAAGGCUAUGGCGCAGAAGGGUUGUAGGACAGGAAAACGAUAUGGCACUGGACUUAUGGAACGAACAUAAGAACACUCGAAACUAAGGGUAGAUGUGAACCUAACGGUAUACCUGAAGCUUUGAUUACCACUUGAUGAGAACAAAGGUGGCCUGAUCUUCCAAAACGUUCUGGUAACUCUCGAUUUGGUGCAGACGAGACACAAAUCGAUCCGGCUUCCGAACAACACGAUCCGAAACCCUACAAUGUUUUUUAUUUUUUUGAUAUUUUUCAUUUACUUAAGAGCACUAAAGAUGUAACCACAGAAAAUUUGAGCUUAAACUAGUGAAAGACGUGGCCUUGGAAUUUUCCGAAGAUUGCGAAAAAUGUGAAAAAACCUUCAUGAGGUGAAAACUCAAACUUCGGAGGCAAAUUUGGAGAUUCUAAAAUUUUCAAACCCGCCAAAGGCACUAAAGGCAUGGAUAGACAGAUCCAAAUUUUUUUUGAUCGAUUUUGAUAUAUGGAACGUUGAAAUCGGAGUUCGUAUGCGAAAGUUAUAGCUGUUUUACGAACGGACUCCAAAUUAGAGGACAAAACGGUCCGAAAGUGGGAAAAAUUUGCGGUGGUGGCUAGAAAUUGAUGGAAACGGUGGGAAAAAACACACGAACUGGACUCUAACAAGACCUAACCAGCAACAAGACCUCGACAAGGCCACAAACUCAACAAUGCAGACUCUAAAACUGAAAUAUGCAAAGGCUGUGGCGCGGAAGGGUUGUAGGACCGGAAAACGAUAUGGCACUGGACUUGUGGGACAAACACAAGAACACUUGAAACUAAGGGUAGAUGUGAACCUAGUGGUAUACUUGAAUCUUUUAUUACCACUUGAUGAGAACAAGGGUGGCCCGAUCUUCCGAAGUGUUGUGGUAACUCUCGAUUUGGUGGAGACGAGACACAAAUCGAUCCGGCUUCUGAGCAACACAAUCCAAAACCCUGCAAUUUUUUUAUUUUUUUGAUAUAUUUCUUUCACUUAGGAGCACUAAGGAAGUAACCACAAAAAAAAUUGAGCUUAAACAAGUGAAAGACGGCCUGUGGAAUUUUCUCAAGAUUGUGAUGUGAAAAAAACAUCACGAGGUGAAAACUCAAACUUCGGAGGCAAAUUUGGAGAUUCAAAAAAUUUCAAACCCACUAAAGGCGUGGAUAGACAUAUCCAAAGAAAUUGUCUGAUCGAUUUUGAAAUAUGGAACGUUGAAAUCAGAGUUCGUAUGUGAAAGUUAUGGUUGUUUUACGAACGGACUCCAAAUUAGAGGACAAAACGGUCCGAAAGUGAGAAAAAUUUACGGCGGUGGCUAGAAAUUGAUAAAAACGGUAGGGAAAAAAUACACGAACUGGACUCUAACAAGACCUAACCAGUAACAAGACCUCGACCAGGACACAAACUCAACACUGCAGACUAUGAAAUUGAAAUAUGCAAAGGCUAUGGCGCGGAAGGGUUGUAGGAUAGGAAAACGAUAUGGCACUGGACUUAUGGGACAAACACAAGAACACGUGAAACUAAGGGUAGAUGUGAACCUAACGGUAUACCUGAAGCUUUGAUUACCACUUGAUGAGAAGAAGGGUGGCCCGAUCUUCCGAAGUGUUCUGAUAACUCUCGAUUAGGUGGAGACGAGAUACAAAUCGACCCGGCUUCCGAGCAACACAAUCCAAAACCCUGUAAUUUUUUAUUUUUUUGAUAUUUUUCUUUUACUUAGGAGCACUAAGGAAGUAACCACAAAAAAUUUGAGCUUAAACAAGUGAAAGACGUGGCCCAUGGAAUUUUCUCAAGAUUGCGAAAAUGUGAAAAAAACUUCACGAGGUGAAAACUCAAACUUUGGAGGCGAAUUUGGAGAUUCAAAUUUUUUCAAACCCACUAAAGGCAUGGAUAGACAUAUCCAAAAAAAUUUUCUGAUUGAUUUUAUUAUAUCGAACGUUGAAAUCAGAGUUCGUAUGCGAAAGUUAUGGUUGUUUUACGAACGGACUCCAAAUUAGAGGACAAAACGGUCCGAAAGUGGGAAAAAUUUGCGGCGGUGGCUAGAAAUUGAUGAAAACAGUGGGGAAAAAACACUGGACUCUAACAAGACCUAACCAGCAACAAGACCUCGACCAAGACACAAACUCAACACUGCAGACUCUGAAAUUGAAAUAUGCAAAGGCUAUGGCGCGGAAGGGUUGUAGGACAGGAAAACGAUAUGGCACUGGACUUAUGGGGCGAACAUAAGAACACUCGAAACUAAGGGUAGAUGUAAAGUAACGGUAUACCUGAUGCUUUGAUUACCACUUGAUGAGAACAAGAGUGGCCCGAUCUUCCGAAAGGUUCUGCUAACUCUCGAUUUGGUGGAGACAAGACACAAAUCGAUGCGGCUUCCAAACAACACGAUCCAAAACUCUGCAUUUUAUUUAUUUUUUUGAUAUUUUUCUUUUACUUAGGAGCACUAAAGGAGUAAGCACAGAAAAUUUGAGGUUAAACAAGUGAAAGACGUGGCCUGCAAAAUUUUCUGAAGAUUGAGAAAAAUGUGAAAAAGACUUUACGAGGUGAAAACUCAAACUUUGGAGGCAAAUUUAGAGAUUGUAAAAUUUUCAAACCCGCCAGACACGGGGACAGACAGAACAGAAAUUUUUUCUAGUCGAUUUUGAUAUAUGAAUGUUGAAAUCAGAGUUCGUAUGCGAAACUUAUGACUGUUUUACGAACGGACUCCGAAUUAGAGGACAAAACAGUGCGAAAGUGGGAAAAAUUUAAGGCGGUGCUAGAAAUUAAUGGAAACAUUGGGGAAAAACAUACGAACUAGACUCUAACAAGACCUAACAUGCAACAAGACCUCGACCAAGACACAAACUCAACACUGCAGACUCUAAAACUGAAAUAUGCAAAGGCUAUGGCGUGGAAAGGUUCUACGACAGGAAAACGAUAUGGCACUGAACUUAUGGGACGAACACAAGAACACUCGAAACUAAGGGUAGAUGUGAACCUAACGGUAUACCUGAAGUUUUGAUUACCACUUGAUGAGAACAAGGGUGGCCCGAUCUUGCGAAAGGUUCUGGUAACUCUCGAUUUUGUGGAGACGAGACACAAAUCGAUCUGGAUUCCGAACAACAGGAUCUGAAACCCUGCAAUUUUUUUAUUUUUUUGAUAUUUUUCUUUUACUUAGGAGCACUAAACAAGUAACCAUAGAAAAUUUGAGCUUAAACAAGUGAAAGAUGUGGCCUGCUGAAUUUUCUGAAGAUUGAGAAAAAUGUAAAAAAAAACUUCAUGAAGUGAAACUGAAACUUCGGAGGCAAAUUUGGAUAUUUUAAAAUUUUGAAACCCGCCAAAGAUGGGGAUAGACAGAUCUGAAUUUUUUCUCAUCAAUUUUGAUAUAUGGAACGUUGAAAUCGUAUUUCGUAAGCGAAAGUUAUGGCUGUUUUACGAACGGAUUCCGAAUUAGAGGACAAAACGGUGCGAAAGUGAGAAAAAUUUGCGGCGGUGGCUAGAAAUUGAUGGAAACGGUGGGGAAAUACACACGAACUGGACUCUAACAAGACCUAACCAGCAACAAGACCUCGACUAUGACACAAACUCAACACUGUGGACUCUAAAACUGAAAUAUGCAAAGGCUAUGGCGCGGAAGGGUUGUAGGACUGGAAAACGAUAUGGCACUGGACUUAUGGGACGAACACAAGAACACUUGAAACUAAGGGUAGAUGUAAAUCUAAUGGUAUACCUGAAGCUUUGAUUACAGAACAAGGGUGGCCCGAUCUUCCGAAAGGUUCUGGUAACUCUCGAUUUGGUGGAGACGAGACACAAAUCGAUCCAGCUUCCGAGCAACACGAUCUGAAACCCUGUAAUUUUUUUAUUUUUUUGAUAUUUUUCAUUUACUUAGGAGCACUAAAGAUGUAACCACAUAAAAUUUGAGGUUAAACAAGUGAAAGACGUGGCCUGCAAAAUUUUCUGAAGAUUGAGAAAAAUGUGAAAAAACUUCACGAGAUGAAAACUCAAAUUUCGGAUGCGAAUUUGAAGAUUAUAAAAUUUUCAAACUCGCCACAGGCAGGGAUAGACACAUCCAAAAAGUUUUUCUGAUCGAUUUUGAUAUAUGGAACAUUGAAAUCGGAGUUCGU
rnacentral:lncRNA from 1 species